AACGUUCAACAACGGAUAUAUAGGUUGUGGCAUUGAUGAAGAACGCAGUGAAAUGCGAUAAGUAAUGUGAAUUGCAGAAUUUAGCGAAUCAUAGAAUGUUCGAACGCACAUUGCGCCCCUGGGAAUUCCCAGGGGCAUGCCUGUUCGAGCGUCC
rnacentral:rRNA from 1 species